GUGUGUGUGUGCAACCCCCCUCCUCCUUAACUAGCUGGUCAGCAGAGCAGCGGAGGGAUUAGUGAAGCCAGCUCCACUCUCUACUAACAGACGGAGGGGGAUUGCAAUAAGCGUGAAUCAUGCACGUCGUCAUUACUACCGGCUGGGAGUGGAGCCGAAAUUGUGCAAGAUACGGAUAACAGCGAAGAAAGGUCCGUGUGGAUCCAGUCAAGUUUCGUCUCCUUGUUCCGCCGUGAAAAUGCCUCACCAGGGGCUCUGCUGCUGCCGCUGCUGCCUCUCGGACCCGUCGCUUUAUACUGCCUCCCUCACAUGUGCUUUUAUGUUGAAGAAGUAACCAGGAUAUAUUUAGACCUGUAAGGAGUCUGUGAGAGCGAUUUUCCAAAGGACGUACGGAUUUUUUAUUUUCCUUUUCGCCGUGCGGGAAAUUGUCUCAAGUGGAAGAAAGAGGGAGAAAAGUUUUACUGGUUGGUGAAACAUGGGGAACGCAGGGAGCAUGGACCAGCACACUGAUUUCAGAGGACACAACAUGCCUCUGAAACUACCCAUGCCGGAGCCAGGUGAACUGGAGGAAAGGUUUGCAACCGUUUUGAACUCGAUGAAUCUUCCUCCAGACAAAGCGCGACUGUUGCGGCAGUAUGACAAUGAGAAGAAGUGGGAACUCAUCUGCGAUCAGGAGCGAUUCCAAGUGAAAAACCCUCCUCACACGUACCUCCAAAAGUUGAGGAGUUAUCUAGACCCAGCAGUCACACGGAAGAAAUUCAGACGGAGAGUUCAGGAGUCCACCCAAGUCCUGAGAGAACUGGAAAUUUCGUUACGGACCAAUCAUAUAGGGUGGGUGAGAGAAUUCUUAAAUGAAGAGAACAAAGGCCUGGACGUGCUGGUGGAGUAUCUUUCUUUUGCACAGUAUGCCGUCACGUUUGAUGGAGACUGUGCAGAGAACAACCCAGAGGCUGCUAUGGAUAAGUCUAAGCCCUGGAGCCGUUCUAUAGAAGACCUGCAUGGAGGAAACAGCCUACCAUCUUCCAUCACUGGAAACGGCAUCACACGUGGUAGUCGACAUUCCACAAUACGUCAUCUGCUCCUCUGUCUGCCAGUCUUCGACAGCAGGACACCGAGCACACUGAGCUGUCCAAAAUGCUCUCAAAUAAGACGCUGCAACACACUUCCAAGCCGAAGAACUCUGAAAAACUCCAGACUGGUUUGCAAGAAAGACGAUGUCCACGUCUGCAUCAUGUGCCUGCGUGCUAUCAUGAACUACCAGUAUGGCUUCAACUUGGUCAUGUCACACCCACAUGCUGUGAAUGAAAUUGCACUAAGUCUCAACAAUAAAAACCCAAGAACGAAAGCUCUGGUCUUGGAGCUCCUGGCGGCAGUUUGUCUCGUGAGAGGAGGCCAUGAAAUUAUUCUCUCUGCAUUCGACAACUUUAAGGAGGUGUGCAUUGAGACGCAGAGAUUUGAGAGGCUAAUGGAAUAUUUCAAGAACGAGGACAACAACAUCGACUUCAUGGUGGCCUGUAUGCAGUUCAUCAACAUAGUCGUGCACUCAGUGGAGGACAUGAACUUCAGAGUUCACCUACAGUUUGACUUCACCAAGCUGUGUCUGGACGACUACUUAGACAAACUAAAGCAUACAGAGAGCGAUAAGCUGCAGGUUCAGAUCCAGGCCUACUUGGAUAACGUGUUUGACGUGGGAGCCCUUCUGGAGGAUGCCGAGACCAAAAAUGCUGCCCUGGAGCGUGUGGAGGAGCUGGAGGAGAACAUGUCACAUAUGACAGAGAAGCUGCAGGACACGGAGAACGAGGCCAUGUCCAAGAUUGUGGAGCUGGAAAAGCAGCUUAUGCAAAGGAACAAGGAGCUUGAAUCGAUCAGGGAAGUCUACAAAGACACUAGCUCGCAGGUCCACUCAUUGCGGCAGAUAUUGAAGGAGAAGGACGAGGCCAUCCAGCGACAGAGUAACUUGGAGAAAAAGAUCCACGAACUUGAGAAACAAGGCACCAUCAAGAUCCACAAGAAGGGAGAUGGAGACAUCUUCAUCCUGCCCUCACCCUCCUCUGGUGUGGAGGGAUUGCUGGGUGCUGUGAUAGGAGCAAAUGGCGCAGCAAAUCAUGUGGGAGUGGUAACCGGCACACUGGCUCCACCACCACCACCACCACCUCCACUGCCAGUAAACGGCACAUUGUCAAAUGGACUAUCGGCAGUCAUUCCUGCAGCAGCUCCCCCACCUCCACCACCUCCUCCUCCACCUCCUCCUCCUCCUCCCUCAGGGCCAGCCUCACAGAUCUCAGCACCUCUGCCCCCUCCACCUCCUCCUGUAGCGCCCCCACUGCCCGGCUGUGGGACGCCUACUGUCAUCAUGAACUCUGGGUUAGCAGAGGGACCCAUCAAACUUUUCUCUGUUAAGAUCAAGAAACCCAUCAAGACAAAGUUCCGUCUGCCCGUCUUCAACUGGGUAGCCCUGAAACCAAACCAGAUCAACGGGACUGUCUUUAAUGAGAUUGAUGACGAGAGGAUACUUGAGGACCUGAACGUGGACGAGUUUGAGGAGAUGUUUAAGACUAAGGCCCAGGGCCCGGCUAUUGACCUCACCAUGAGCAAGCAGAAGAUCAUCCAGAAGGGGCCCAACAAGGUGGCGCUAUUGGACUCCAACAGAGCAAAGAACCUGGCCAUCACACUGCGGAAAGUGGGCAAGACUCCUGAGGAGAUCUGCAAGGCCAUUCAGAUUUUUGACCUGCGAACUUUGCCGGUGGACUUCGUAGAGUGUCUGAUGCGCUUCCAGCCAACCGAAAAUGAGAUUAAAAUCCUGCGGCAGUAUGAGAAGGAGCGCAAGCCACUGGAGAGCCUUCCGGACGAGGACCGCUUCAUGAUGCAGUUUAGUAAAAUCGAGCGGCUCAUGCAAAAGAUGACCAUCAUGGCCUUCAUCGGCAACUUCUGUGACAGCGUGCAGAUGCUCACACCGCAAAUUCAUGCAGUCAUCGCAGCAUCUGUGUCCAUCAAGUCCUCACAGAAACUAAAGAAAAUUCUAGAGAUCAUCUUGGCUCUCGGAAACUACAUGAACAGCAGCAAAAGAGGAGCCGUGUACGGAUUCAAGCUGCAAAGUUUGGACUUGCUACUGGAUACCAAGUCGACAGACCGUAAGAUGACGUUGUUACACUACAUAGCCAAUGUGGUGAAGGAGAAAUACUCACAAGUUUCUCUGUUCUACAACGAGCUGCACUACGUGGAGAAAGCUGCAGCAGUGUCGUUGGAGAACGUCCUGCUGGAUGUUAAGGAGCUGCAGAGAGGCAUGGAGCUGACCAAAAGAGAGUACAGCAUGCACGGCCACAACACCAUGCUCAAAGACUUCAUCGCACACAAUGAGAACAAGUUGAAGAAGCUGCAGGAUGAUGCCAAGAUUGCACAGGAUGCCUUUGACGAGGCAGUGAAGUUUUUCGGGGAGAACUCUAAAACAACGCCACCCUCUGUCUUCUUCCCUGUGUUUGUGCGAUUUGUGAGGGCUUACAGGCAAGCAGAAGAAGACAACGAGCAGAAAAAGAGAGCAGAGCAGAUUUUGAUGGAGAAACUUCUAGAACAGGAGGCCAUGAUGGAGGAAGACCAGAAGUCACCUCAUAAGAACAAACGGCAGCAGCAAGAGCUGAUCCAGGAGCUCAGGAAGAAACAGGUUAAAGACAGUCGCCACGUCUACGAAGGCAAAGAUGGAGCGAUUGAGGACAUCAUCACGGUGCUGAAGACAGUGCCCUUUACCGCCCGCACAGCCAAGCGAGGCUCUCGGUUCUUCUGCGAGCCCGCCCUCAAUGACGAGUACCAUUACUAAGCUUGUAGAACUGUCUCUCUGCUCUAAGGUUGCUGGAACAAAAACAUUAUCUUCUUUAUGUCUCUCUCUUUCCUCCACUCUUGCAUGCCUCUUCACACGUUCCUCCUUCUUUUAACCACCACACUCAACCCUCACAUUUUCGGACCCUUGUGUGUGCACAUUGUCCACCUUAUGGUUUUUGCACACAAGCCUGAGCGUACGUUUGUGCGUGUGUUAACGUUUUCUCCCUUCUUAGCAUGACUUGGUGUCGGUGGAAUGUUUUUCUUUGCCCACCUGCAUGAAGUGUGACACCCUGAUUUAUCACUGUUGUUUAAUCAACCAUGGCAUAUCAUAAUGUCACAGAGGAUCACAGAUCUCCAAGAUUAUACUCUUAUGUGCACUGACAGGAGAUUAAAAUUGGUGAAGAGCGUACUUCUUCUCAUCAAGUACUGGAGCAGAAACGUUAAGCUGCGUGCUGCCAUCUAGUGGGGAAAGAUGGCUGACUCAUGCAUCGAAUACCUUAGGAUUUAUCAUUGGAUUCUAAUUUAAUCAUUUAAUUUAAUGUAGUGAAGCUUCAGUCGUCAUCUACACGGCAGGUAUGGCUGAUGACAUGAUUGUGUAAGUGCCUGUGGCAUUAUAAUUUGCUUUGUGUUUCAACCAAUGUCUUAAUUAAAAAUGAAUGUGUGUGUGUUUAUCACAUAUCAUUACUGCUGUUAAUACAGCUUCUUGUAUGCUGAUUGCUUCAUCACGAACGCUUUCCCACAAUGCAUCCCUGCUCUCCCAUUCAGCCCAUUUGCUGUGCCUGCUCCUGUCGCCUGCUGACAGGUCACCUAGCUGUCAUGACUCUCUGUGGUGUCGCAAGCUCACUAAUAUCCUGCAUGACAUCAACAUAUGAAUAAUCACUUAACAUUGCAGCAGUCUGUCUUUGCAGUUGUAAUCUAAUUGUGUGCUACUAACAUGCAGCCAGGUUGUUUACAGCUGUUUAAGUGUAACCCAAUCAUUAGUUGUUUCCCUGGCUGCACGCAUGCGUUGGUUGGUGUUUUGGUCAAGUUGCUGGUGAAUGUAAUAAUCCUGCUGUGUCCUGAAACCACAUUUGUUUAUUUAAGUUCACAAUUGCACUGCAUUAGAAGUUUACAACUUAGAAGCUCAUUUUCUGUCCUGCUGGUAGCCACUCCGCAAAGCAGACUGAGUUUAUAACACAGAAAAAAAAGAUCUUCCACUCCAUCCUCCAGCUCUGUCUCCACUCAUGCCCUGACCCUCCUCUGGCCCUUUUCUCCAUGCAGCCUGCUGCCACUUUGCUUUGCUCGCGCAGUGCUCUCUAAGCAAAGCCAGUGUGAAUAUGUCAGGCUGACAUGCUCUGGUCAGCCUCCUGCUCCUCCAUUUUUAACCUCCCUUUUGUCUUCUCUUCAUCUAGCCCUAAAGAAGAAUAAUAUAACUAAAUUUCCCAAUGUCUACUCGAGGAUUUGAGGAAUCAGCCUUACAGGCGAGCAGAUGCUGUGCGGAGGAGCGUCAGGAGACGCUUUGAUGAUCAGAACCUGCGGCCGGUGAACAAUGGUGAAGUGAUGAUGUGACGAGGGAAGAUAGAGCACGUGCUGUUGGGGACUGAAGAUACUGAGGAUGUGUAAGAGAGGGAGAGACAGGAGGUUGGAUGCAGAGUGAGGGAUGGUAAGUGAAAGGUGACGAGUGUAGCAACCAUAGCGAUGUAUGUAUGUGUGUGUGUGUGUGUGUAUAUAAAUUUUACAUACAGUAGGAAUACACAUUAUUCCAUGUCUGUGGUAUAGAAGCAGCUUUUCACCAUGAAGGACCGGGAGCUGUAUUGGACUGCAUUUAAAGUGUCUGAAAAGUUGAUUCAGAAACCAAGUGCCUGAACUUGUGGGCUAAUGUCACGCUGUCUUCUGUUUGUCUGAUGACUGUACUAUUCCCCACUUCAAGCAAUACAAUUGGACCAGGUUUUUAAUUUUAAGAUGUGUAAAACUGGACUUGUGGUGGCCUUAAAAGCCACGUGAAGAGAUACUUCCUUGGAAACAUAAUGUAGAAUGUAUGGGACACGUUCCCUUUAGCUGUUACAAGCAUUACAUCUUGUAGCGUUUGACAGUCUGUUGUAUCUCAAUACAUUCCGGUGCUCUUUUUCAUUCCUCUUGUUAUACAAACGUGCUCAACUUGCACUUUUUGCAUCUGAGGUUUUUCAACUUUGACUAAUAGGCUUGACGUUCAGGCAUGAAGAAGGUGAUCAGAAAAGUAAUUAAAUAUCUAUAUUUGUACUAAAGUAAGUUUUAAGGAUGAUGAGGAAUGAACGGAAAAGACAAAACCAUUUCAAAACAAGACUGGGCUAAUGUGAAUUGUAUAUACCAGGCCUCUCUCCAUGCUGACUUCUCUUCCAUAAUUUGUUAUUUCAGUUAAUGGAUAAAGUCUGAAAUUGUAGCCCUUAACCCGUAGAAGUAGGCCGUCUGCUCACAUAAAACUCUACCGUCCAUUUAAAAUGUUGCAUUUCUGUAGCAGCAGAGCAGUUUGUCUGAUGUCUGGGAACAAAUUACAAGCCAAUGAGCCUGUAAAACAACAUAAAACCCAUUUUCUACCAAAUGUAGAAACUGCAUGAAAGAUACUGAACCCAACUGGAUAUAAGGUUUUCAUCUCUGUCAACCUAUUUUUAUUUUUUUUUACAGAUUAGUCAUAUUCCAGGCUACAGCGUCUACUCACUUUAUUGUAAUUUUUAUGUAUAGUAUUUAACCACUGAAAGGAUUGCUUUAAGCUCAUGUUUUCAUUUAACGUGCCCAUGGUCAUCAGAAACCUGGCAAAACAAAAGUUUCCUAAAUGUACAGAUAUUUUGCAACAAAUCUUUUUUUUUUUUUUUACUUAAUUCACAUUACCAGAUGGUUAAUAUUGUACAUAUUGUUUAAACAAAAGUUUUCAUUGCCUUGUGUUAUACAACUUGAAUGUUAUUUUAACUUAUAGUUUUUGUUUUCCAUUUUUUGUAUAUUUAAUUAAGCCAAAUGCAGCCAGAACCGACAGUCGUGUUACAUCCUAAUAGUCUCAUGGUGAUGCAGGAGGCUGACUUUGCUUGUGGGUGUGUCACAGGUGCAUCAAAGCCAGCU